GAUAAACGCUGGCGGCGUGCUUUAUGCAUGCAAGUCGAACGGUCUCGAUUUAUCGAGAUAGUGGCGGAUGGGUGAGUAACGCGCAAGUAACCUGCCUCUAAGUGAGGGAUAACUCUGAGAAAUUAGAGCUAAUACUGUAUGUGGUGGUGGGGGUAAUGCUUCAUCACUAAAGCCUUAGGGCGCUUAGGGAGGGGCUUGCGUCCGAUUAGUUAGUUGGUAGGGUAAUGGUUUACCAAGGCGAUGAUCGGUAGCUGGUUUGAGAGGACAUCCAGCCACACUGGGAUUGAGAUACGGCCCAGACUCCUACGGGAGGCAGCAGCAAGGAAUUUUGUGCAAUGGGCGAAAGCCUGACACAGCGACGCCGCGUGGGGGAUGAAGGCCUUCGGGUUGUAAACCCCUUUUCUCAGGGAAGAAUAAUGACGGUACCUGGGGAAUAAGUCUUGGCUAACUACGUGCCAGCAGCCGCGGUAAUACGUAGGGGGCAAGCGUUAUCCGGAUUUACUGGGCGUAAAGAGGGCGUAGGCAGUUUUUCAAGUCGAUUGUAAAAUCUCCCGGCUUAACUGGGAGGAGCCAGUCGAUACUGUUAGACUAGAGAGCAGCAGGGGGAGGUGGAAUUCCCGGUGUAGUGGUGAAAUGUGUAGAUAUCGGGAGGAACACCAGUGGCGAAGGCGGCCUCCUAGGCUGUUUCUGACGCUGAGGUCCGAAAGCGUGGGGAGCAAACAGGAUUAGAUACCCUGGUAGUCCACGCUGUAAACGAUGGACACUAGGUAUGGGGAGUAUCGACCCUCUCUGUGCCGAAGCUAACGCAUUAAGUGUCCCGCCUGGGGAGUAUGGCCGCAAGGCUA
rnacentral:rRNA from 1 species